AAAUUAGAAAGGGGAUCUUGCUUUAUAAUAACACUUAGGAAACCUUUCAUGCUCUAGAAGAGCAGUGAGAGAAGAUAAGAGUCAGCUGAAGGGGAAAGGACUGAUCCUGCACCACCCUAAGCCAGGCUUGGGCUGUAGUGUGUGGUGCAAGAGGAGACAAGCAGCUGCCUGUGAAGGUAUGGGAAGAGCUGGACAUAACUGGACAACUCCAGGUGAUCUUUUAGGAUGCAGUGACUUGUCACGGAGAGUUAUUGAUUGUGUGCCUGAACUCUGUGCUCCACGUAAAAACUCAGCAUUAUACCUCCUAGGGAGAUCAAAUGGUGAGAUGAGAGACAGCAGAAUUCCUUCUACCACAAGCUCUACCUCUGACUGGAGGCAAAGAUCAGAAUCUGAUGCAAGGAGCCCUUGCUGACACAAGUGAUGUAAACUGGUGCAAGCAUCACUCAGCAACUGGAGAAGCCAGAACAAUGUGUCUGAUCAUCAUGGUGCAAUUUCCAAACUCCUCCAAGCUUGUCUUCAUUCUUUUUUUUGAAUGUGAAGUACUGUGUGAUGUAUCUAUUUCUGGAAAUUGUGCAGGGUGAAUGGGGUGGAACAUGCAAAUGUAAAUAUUAAGCACUAGUGGGAAAGGAAAGAAGCACUUGCUAAAGAUGUCUAGACACCACAAAGAGCAAUUAGCCAGGUUUAAAAUUCUGCCAGCAAGUAUACACGGCAGGAAAUGCAAACAUAAGGAGAGCAGAGCCACCAGGCUUCACUUGGCUCCUGCCACUUCAUCAGGGCUAAUUAAAGUGUUCUUCCCUGAGUCCUUAAAGAGAUCGACUAUGACAGCAAACAACUUCAAGUGAGACACACUAGUCUACAGUGAGGGGGAAACCAGUGAGGGGGGAACAACAGGGAGGCAGCAAUCUGCAUUGUUAAAUCCCAUCCUGUUAUGCUCAGUGGAGAGUAGUCAGAGCUGGAUGAAGCAAGGCCAAAGACAAGGCAAAUGGAUGCUCUGAGGUAAUUUGUGUCACCAUCCUUCUUAUCACACCAGAGGUGGAAAGAAUUUUCUCAGCCAUCUGCAAGGUCCCAGCCGUGUUCCCCAUGUGUGUGUCACUGCUCACACACUGAGGUUUUACAGCAGCGUGACUCAAUCACGAGUUGC
rnacentral:lncRNA from 1 species